GCCCGAAGCAACCCGGCCUCGCUUGUGGGGAGCCCUACACCCGCGGCCAGGUACGAAAAACCCGCUCUGCGCCUCCAGGCCAAUCCCACGUCUUCCUUCUAAAAGUCCCUGCUCCGGAAAGCCCUCUCCGUAAAAGGGUCCCGGCCCGCAGUUCCUGGGAUGGCCAGCCUCUUGGCGCGGACUUGGGGUGAUGGGGACCCCCGCCGCUCCCCUGACCCCGGGCCGCGCUCUCCCCUCCUCCAGUCCGCCCCUGCGGGGGAAAAUGCCGGAGUGAAACUGGAGCGAUUGCCGCCCCGCCACGUGACGGUCCCGCAUCGGCGACCUGGAAGCGGGUGAGCUGCCGCCGCCUCCAAUCUCUCCCGGCGCAGGGGGCCGGGAUGCGGCCAUGCGGCGGCGCGGGAGGCCCGAGAGCGGGGCUCACCCUCCUCAGACUCUGCGGCGGAGAGCCGAGUGAUGAAUAAAUGAGUAACCACAUCAAUAUUUAAGUGUUCACUCGGAGCCUUGGGGCCAGUGUGUCACGGGUUGGGGGAAAUUACAGGCCCUGGUGGGGGGUUAAAUAACUACUUCCACCCAUUAUUAAGUGCCUACUGUGUGCCAGGGCCUAAGUAUUAACGUAUACUUGGUUUAUUAUUGAUAAUAACGAUGUUUAGUAAUUAUAGAUGCUGAAUUUCAGCCAACUCUGGUCAGUGCGCUUUUAUAUGCAUUACCUCAUUUUAUCCUCAGAGCAACUCUGUGGGGUGAGUAUGGCUUUUAUCCCUAUUUUCCAGAAGAUAAAAUGUCAGCUCAGAUGGGGGAGGGUUGUGAAUCCACUAGAUGCCCCCAGAGCGUUUUUUUUUUUUUUAACUUUCAGAGCCUGUACUUUUAAAAUAAUAAUUUAAAAAUAAUACACACAGCUUUUUUAAAAAAAUCAAAUAGGACAGAAUGGCUUGCAAUGAAAAGCAAGAACUCCCUCUCCAUCCUUCAAUCCAGGGAUGCUGCUUAAAGCCACUGGUGUUUUCAGGUCUGAUGGUUACCUCCACAUCACUACAUUAAGAUGCUCACAUAGCUACAUCUGCAUUUAUCAGGACUGGCCACUGUCUGUUGCCUUCCUCCUAUGAUAGAUAAUGAUUUAGCUGGCUCACACCCACUUCCAUCCCUCAAUCUUGUGUAGUUAUGCUAUUAUUUUUAGUUCCUCUAUAGCAGGGGUCCCCAACCCUUGGGCCACAGACUGGUAACCCUCCAUGUCCUGUUAGGAACUGGGCUGCACAGUAGGAGGUGAGUGGUGGUAGGGGCUAGCUGGUGAAACUUCAUCUGUAUUUACAGCCGCUUCCUAUCGCAUUACCGCCUGAGCUCCACCUCCUGUCAGAUCAGCUGUGGCAUUAAAUUCUCCUAGGAGCACAAACCCUAUUGUGAACUGUGCAUGCGAGGGAUCUAGGUUGCAUACUCCUUAUGAGAAUCUAAUGCCUGAUGAUCUGUCACUGUCUCCCAUCCCCAGAUGGGACCAUCUGGUUGCAGGAAAACAAGGUCAGGGCUCCCACUGAUUCUACAUUAUGGUGAGUCAUAUAAUUGCUUCAUUAUAUAUUACAAUGUAAUGAUAAGAGAAAUAAAGUGCACAGUAAAUGUAAUGCACUUGAAUCAUCCUGAAACCAUCCCUGCCACCCUCAGUCUGUGGAAACUUACAUUUUGGUCCCUGGUGUCAAAAAGGUGGGGAACCAGUGCUCUAUAGGAUACCCAACAGGAGAAACAUGUAUUUCUUCUUAGGGAGACUCCACAGUACCCCUCAACUGUCCACCUUCCAGGCCAUGUCCUCUACUGGGAAUAUGAACCUAGGAAACCAGUAGAGUAGGCAGAGGAGACCCAUGAUAGCACACCCAGCACAGGCCCAGUCCUCACAGCCUCCCACCUUAACUCUUCCAUCAGAAGACUGGAGUGGGGAAGUCCUAGGCACCAGCCCCAUGGUCCAGCAACCCUGACGAUAGCACCUAGCUUUAGAGACAGCCAGAUCUGCCUACAGAUAUUGGCCAUCUGCCUCUUAGUAGCUAUGAAACCUGAAGUUUAAGCCAACUCUCUAACCUCUCUUGGCCUUAUUUCUCCAUUUGGAUAAUGGGAUAAUGAUUCUUACCUCAAGCCAGGCGGAGUGGCUCACACCUGUAAUCCCAGCACUUUAGGAGGCCCAGGCUGGUGGAUCACUUGAAGCCAGGAGUUCAAGACCAGCCUGGGCAACAUGGUGAAACCCCACCUCUACUACAAAGACAAAAAAUUCCCCUGGCGUGGUGGUGGGCACCUGUAGUCCCAGCUACUUGGGAGGCUGAGGCACAAGGAUCACUUGAACCUGGGAGGCAGAGGUUGCAGUGAGCCAAGAUUGUGCUGCUACACUCCAGCCUGGGCGACAGAAUGAGACUUUGUCUCAAAAAAAUAAAAAAUGGGGCCAGGCCUGGUGGCUCAUGCCUGUAAUCCCAGCACUUUGGGAGGCCGAGGCGGAUGGAUCACUUGAGGUCAGGAGUUCCAGACCUGCCUGACCAACAUAGUGAAACCCCGUCUCUUCUGAAACUAUGAAAAUUAGCAGGGCAUGGUGGGGCACACCUGUAAUCCCAGCUACUCAGGAGGCUGAGGCACAAGAAUCACUUGAACCUGGGAGACAGAGGUUGCAGUUAGCCAACAUCGCACCACUGCACUCCAGCCUGUGCAACAGAGUGAGACUCUCUCUCAAAAAAAGAAAAAAUGGAAAUAAAUCAUAACGCAACCAUCCAUAAAUAAACACUGUUAAUAAUU
rnacentral:lncRNA from 1 species